rnacentral:rRNA from 1 species
UGCAAGUCGAGGGGCAUCAGUUUGGUUUGCUUGCAAACCAAAGCUGGCGACCGGCGCACGGGUGAGUAACACGUAUCCAACCUGCCGAUAACUCCGGAAUAGCCUUUCGAAAGAAAGAUUAAUACCGGAUAGCAUACGAAUAUCGCAUGAUAUUUUUAUUAAAGAAUUUCGGUUAUCGAUGGGGAUGCGUUCCAUUAGUUUGUUGGCGGGGUAACGGCCCACCAAGACUACGAUGGAUAGGGGUUCUGAGAGGAAGGUCCCCACAUUGGAACUGAGACACGGUCCAAACUCC